rnacentral:tRNA from 1 species
GGUGUAACUCCGUGAUAGAGUGCUUGCCUAGCAUGCAAGAGGUCCUGGGUUUGAUCCCCAGAACCACCC